UACGAAGGGGGCUAGCGUUGCUCGGAAUCACUGGGCGUAAAGCGCACGUAGGCGGCAUCUUAAGUCAGGGGUGAAAUCCUGGAGCUCAACUCCAGAACUGCCUUUGAUACUGAGGUGACUUGAGUCCGGGAGAGGUGUAGUGGAACUGCGAGUGUAGAGGUGAAAUUCGUAGAUAUUACGCAAGAACACCAGUGGCGAAGGCGGCUCACUGGCCCGAUACUGACGCUGAGGUGACGAAAGCGUGGGGAGCAAACAGG
rnacentral:rRNA from 1 species